rnacentral:rRNA from 1 species
GAUGAACGCUGGCGGCGUGCCUAAUACAUGCAAGUCGAGCGAACAGACGAGGAGCUUGCUCCUCUGACGUUAGCGGCGGACGGGUGAGUAACACGUGGAUAACCUACCUAUAAGACUGGGAUAACUUCGGGAAACCGGAGCUAAUACCGGAUAAUAUAUUGAACCGCAUGGUUCAAUAGUGAAAGACGGUUUUGCUGUCUCUUAUAGAUGGAUCCGCGCCGCAUUAGCUAGUUGGUAAGGUAACGGCUUACCAAGGCAACGAUGCGUAGCCGACAUGAGAGGGUGAUCGGCCACACUGGAACUGAGACACGGUCCAGAGUCCUACGGGAGGCAGCAGUAGGGAAUCUUCCGCAAUGGGCGAAAGCAUGACGGAGCAAAGCCGCGUGAGUGAUGAAGGUCUUCGGAUCGUAAAACUCUGUUAUUAGGGAAGAACAAAUGUGUAAGUAACUAUGCACGUCUUGACGGUACCUAAUCAGAAAGCCACGGCUAACUACGUG